AGGCUGAAACUCAAAGGAAUGACGGGGGCCCGCACAACCGUGGAGCAUGUGGUUUAAAUUCGAAGCAACCGAAGAACCUUACCAGGUCUGACAUCCCACUGACCGGUGUAGAGAUACACUUUUCCCUUCGGGGACAGUGGUGACAGGUGGUGCAUGGUUGUCGUCAGCUCGUGUCGUGAGAUGUUGGGUUAAGUCCCGCAACGAGCGCAACCCUUGAUCUUAGUUGCCAGCAUUUAGUUGGGCACUCUAAGGUGACUGCCGGUGACAAACCGGAGGAAGGUGGGGAUGACGUCAAAUCAUCAUGCCCCUUAUGACCUGGGCUACACACGUGCUACAAUGGACGGUACAAAGGGCUGCCAACCCGCGAGGGGGAGCCAAUCCCAGAAAACCGUUCUCAGUUCGGAUUGUAGGCUGCAACUCGCCUGCAUGAAGCCGGAAUCGCUAGUAAUCGUGGAUCAGCAUGCCACGGUGAAUACGUUCCCGGGCCUUGUACACACCGCCCGUCACACCACGAGAGUUUGUAACACCCGAAGUCGGUGAGGUAACCCUUGUGGAGCCAGCCGCCGAAGGUGGGACAGACCGAUUGGGGUGAAGUCGUAACAAGUAGCCGUAUCGGAAGGUGCGGCUGGAUCACCUCCUUAAGGGCGAUUCCGCCCUAUUCA
rnacentral:rRNA from 1 species